AUGCCAGUUCAAUGUGUCUGCUCAACUUGAAAAUGUUUUGCAGAGCAUUAUCUUAAAAAGACACUGGUAAAGUAAAGCCACAGUACGAGCCUUGAAGACUUUGUUGUCUUUGAGGUCCCAAGAGAUGGCUACAUCU
rnacentral:snoRNA from 1 species